CCGUAGCCCAAGAGAUCGGGAUAACACCUGGAAACAGAUGCUAAUACCGGAUAACAAUAGAUGAUGCCUAUCAACUGUUUAAAAGAUGGUUCUGCUAUCACUCUUGGAUGGACCUGCGGUGCAUUAGCUAGUUGGUAGGGUAACGGCCUACCAAGGCGAUGAUGCAUAGCCGAGUUGAGAGACUGAUCGGCCACAUUGGGACUGAGACACGGCCCAAACUCCUACGGGAGGCAGCAGAU
rnacentral:rRNA from 1 species